AUGCACGCUGGCGGCGUGCCUCAUCCAUGCAAGUCGAGCGAACAGACGAGGAGCUUGCUCCUCUGACGUUAGCGGCGGACGGGUGAGUAACACGUGGAUAACCUACCUAUAAGACUGGGAUAACUUCGGGAAACCGGAGCUAAUACCGGAUAAUAUAUUGAACCGCAUGGUUCAAUAGUGAAAGACGGUUUUGCUGUCACUUAUAGAUGGAUCCGCGCCGCAUUAGCUAGUUGGUAAGGUAACGGCUUACCAAGGCAACGAUGCGUAGCCGACCUGAGAGGGUGAUCGGCCACACUGGAACUGAGACACGGUCCAGACUCCUACGGGAGGCAGCAGUAGGGAAUCUUCCGCAAUGGGCGAAAGCUUGACGGAGCAACGCCGCGUGAGUGAUGAAGGUCUUCGGAUCGUAAAACUCUGUUAUUAGGGAAGAACAAAUGUGUAAGUAACUAUGCACGUCUUGACGGUACCUAAUCAGAAAGCCACGACUAACUACGUG
rnacentral:rRNA from 1 species